ACACCAGCCUGGACAACAUGG
rnacentral:misc_RNA from 1 species